rnacentral:rRNA from 1 species
CCUACGGGUGGCAGCAGUGGGGAAUAUUGCGCAAUGGGCGAAAGCCUGACGCAGCGACGCCGCGUGAGGGAUGAAGGUCUUCGGAUCGUAAACCUCUGUCAGCAGGGAAGAACGGUCACUGUGCUAAUCAGCAGUGAAUUGACGGUACCUGCAAAGGAAGCACCGGCUAACUCCGUGCCAGCAGCCGCGGUAAUACGGAGGGUGCGAGCGUUAAUCGGAAUUGCUGGGCGUAAAGCGCGCGUAGGCGGUAUGUCAAGUCAAGGGGGAAAUCCCCGCGCUCAACGUGGGAACUGCCUUUGAAACUGGCAAACUGGAGUGGGUGAGAGGAUAGUGGAAUUCCAGGUGUAGGAGUGAAAUCCGUAGAUAUCUGGAGGAACAUCAGUGGCGAAGGCGGCCUGCUGGGCUUUUACUGACGCUGAGGCUCGAAAGUGUGGGGAGCAAACAGGAUUAGAUACCCCUGUAGUC